GUUAGACUGUAGUGGGGACUGCCAUGCUGCCUAUGUCCUCCUCUUCUGUUUCUCCAAACUGAGGAAACCCCAGCUGCAGGUAGGAUCAAUGAUGAAGAGAAUGCAGACAGCUGUGCUGGAGAGCAAUUAACAAGCACCAGGGAAAAAGUAAGACUCAAACCUCUUGAAGGGCAAUUUUUGAAGCUCAGCCUUGGGUCGUACUUGGAUGGGAGACCACCAUCAAAUACCAGGUGCUGUAUGUGUAUGAAAUCCACAGCCACCAAAUGGCACUCUUGGGCAGAUACAAAUUAUGAACAGGGUCAAGCGGGUUUCUAUUUUACCCAGUUGGCUGGAUUCUUAUCAGCAGUCUUCCACCAAGUGCCUGUUUCCCACAGACGACUGCAAAGUUUUUUUGUCUUUACAAGAACCAAGCUAUGGAGCAAAAUGUCUAGCUUUAUUCUGAUCGAAUGACGACGCAUGAGCAUACAAAUUGCAAGUGUGUCCCCUGCUCCUCCUAUCCCCUGCUCCAACUGGUUCAAAAAUAAAGCAAGUGUGGAAAGGAAUAUAAGCAGAGAAGCCAAGAGGCCUGGAGAAAGAAGACAUGGAGAAGCAGGGGCAAAACCAGGAGCUAUCAAAGUGGCAGCAGAAAAACCCAGCACAGCCAGUAGAAGCUCCAGGAACACUUUGGCCAUGCAGUCUUUGUACAAAUCUUGCAUUGUUGAAGGAGGCGGAGAGGAGAUGAGAUAUGCUCCUAAUGCAAGAAGGGAAAGAAGUAUGGAAUGAAGGAGAAGCAUAAGAACUAACCUCCUCAGGAUGCAUUAGGGAAUUAUAGUUAUUUUACACUCUACCAGCACUCAUGUGAAAAGUGGGAUUUUCCUGACCAGCAUUAUAGUGUAAAACAGUGAUGGCCAACCUAUAGCACGCGUGUCAGCACUGACACGCUUAGCCAUUUUUGCUGACACGCAGCCGCAUG
rnacentral:lncRNA from 11 species